rnacentral:rRNA from 1 species
AGUUUGAUCCUGGCUCAGAACGAACGCUGGCGGCAUGCCUAACACAUGCAAGUCGAACGAUGCUUUCGGGCAUAGUGGCGCACGGGUGCGUAACGCGUGGGAAUCUGCCCUUGGGUUCGGAAUAACAGUUGGAAACGACUGCUAAUACCGGAUGAUGUCGAUAAGACCAAAGAUUUAUCGCCCGAGGAUGAGCCCGCGUCGGAUUAGCUAGUUGGUGGGGUAAAGGCCUACCAAGGCGACGAUCCGUAGCUGGUCUGAGAGGAUGAUCAGCCACACUGGGACUGAGACACGGCCCAGACUCCUACGGGAGGCAGCAGUGGGGAAUAUUGGACAAUGGGCGCAAGCCUGAUCCAGCAAUGCCGCGUGAGUGAUGAAGGCCUUAGGGUUGUAAAGCUCUUUUACCCGGGAAGAUAAUGACUGUACCGGGAGAAUAAGCCCCGGCUAACUCCGUGCCAGCAGCCGCGGUAA